rnacentral:ncRNA from 1 species
GCUGCUGGCCAAAAGUACUUCUAUGUCUUGGCCAAACAACUUAAAUUUGUUUGAAAAAUACUUUUUUGGAGAAAAAAAUACUCCUGGUCUCCCAGAAGCCUGGCCGCUCGUGCCUUUAGGUGUUGGGUUAAGUCCCGCAACGAGUGCAACCCUCGUGUUUCAUUACCAUCGUUGAGUUUUAAACCUUGAACAGACUGCCGGUGAUAAGCCGGAGGAAGGUGAGGAUGACGUCAAGUCAUCAUGCCCCUUAUGUCCUGGGCGACACACGUGCUACAAUGGCCGGGAUAAAGGGUCGUGAUCCCGCAAGGGUGAACUAACCCCAAAAACCCGUCCUCAGUUCGGAUUGCAGGUGAGUUGCAGGCUCUAAAAAGCC